GGGGGAGUAGCUCAAUUGGUUAGAGUACCACCCUGUCACGGUGGGUGUUGCGGGUUCGAGUCCCGUCUCUCUCGCCA
rnacentral:tRNA from 1 species